GGGCUUGGGGCUGUCUGGGCUACAGAAGUGAUCAGGUAAUGCACAUUCCUGAUGUUGCCAGGAAUGAGUGAGCAGAGCUUGCCUGCCUUGGACAGUCAGGAGAGAGCGAUGCCAGAGAGAACGUCCAGAGACUCACAGGAGACCAUGCAGAGGAUUCGCUGGCUGGCCAGGCUACCAACAAAUGGGGCCAGAGUGGCAAAGACCCCAAUCACUUCCGACCUGCUGGCCUGCCAGAGAAAUACUGAGCUUCCUUUUCAAUCUGCUCUCAGGAGACCUGGCUGUGAGCUCCUGAGGCCAGGGACAUUUGUUGACCUACAGUUACUGAAUUCUAUAUCCCUAGUACUUGAUAUAGAACACAUAAAAAUGCUUAAUAAAUGCUUGUGAAAUCCA